UGGGGAAUAUUGGACAAUGGGCGCAAGCCUGAUCCAGCCAUACCGCGUGGGUGAAGAAGGCCUUCGGGUUGUAAAGCCCUUUUGUUGGGAAAGAAAUCCAGCCGGCUAAUACCUGGUUGGGAUGACGGUACCCAAAGAAUAAGCACCGGCUAACUUCGUGCCAGCAGCCGCGGUAAUACGAAGGGUGCAAGCGUUACUCGGAAUUACUGGGCGUAAAGCGUGCGUAGGUGGUUGUUUAAGUCUGUUGUGAAAGCCCUGGGCUCAACCUGGGAACUGCAGUGGAAACUGGACAACUAGAGUGUGGUAGAGGGUAGCGGAAUUCCCGGUGUAGCAGUGAAAUGCGUAGAGAUCGGGAGGAACAUCCAUGGCGAAGGCAGCUACCUGGACCAACACUGACACUGAGGCACGAAAGCGUGGGGAGCAAACAGGAUUAGAUACCCCCGUAGUCC
rnacentral:rRNA from 1 species